rnacentral:rRNA from 1 species
UACGUAGGGGCCGAGCGUUGUCCGGAGUUAUUGGGCGUAAAGCGCGCGCAGGCGGCCUCGCGCGCCCGACGUGAAAGCCCCCGGCUUAACCGGGGAGGGUCGUUGGGGACGGCGGGGCUUGAGGGCGGGAGAGGUCGGUGGAAUUCCCGGUGUAGUGGUGAAAUGCGUAGAGAUCGGGAGGAACACCUGUGGCGAAGGCGGCCGACUGGGCCGGACCCUGACGCUGAGGCGCGAAGGCGUGGGGAGCGAACGGG